ACGUUGUUCUGGGUGGUCUGGAGAUUUGUGCAGCUUGGACCUGCACACAUCUCUGGACCACUUAGCCUUUA
ensembl:miRNA